rnacentral:tRNA from 1 species
GCUGCACCACAAGCGGACUGGCCGGCGCACUCCCUUGGUAAGGGAGAAGCCGAGAGUUCAAAUCUCUCUAGCAGCACCA